rnacentral:rRNA from 1 species
GAACUGAAGAGUUUGAUCCUGGCUCAGAUUGAACGCUGGCGGAAUGCUUUACACAUGCAAGUCGAGCGGCAGCGCGGGGGCAACCCUGGCGGCGAGCGGCGAACG